CGUUAUAAAAGCGAAAACUCGGCCUGGGAUCGAGGCUACUUUACAUGCAAAAUGUUUACUGCAGGAGAUUCCAUGUGGCAUUCCAAAUAGAGCUCACCUGUCUGACAACAAGAUAGACCUGCCGCGCACGUCUACACAUAGAUAUUCCAAAGUUUUAGUCUUGGAUCUCUGAUGAUGCUCGUAUUUGGUGGGAGCAAUUUGAAUUUGGAAUUACCCCCUGGCCCUUGCUACAUCUCCAAGAAGUUUGUCAACUGGCCCAACUCCCAGCCUCAGGAUCAGCAGAUAUGAGCUGUGAUGCGCCUCAGAAUACCCAGCUUCAAGCUCUAUUUGCUGCAGAGAAUGAAGAGUGCAAUGUGUACACUGGGGCCUACCGAAAGCAAUCACGAACAGACGUUAGGGAGGUGCAGGAUUUAGCAGGUCUUAAGAUUGAUCAGUUGCUGGCAGUCAGAAGCUGUCCAAGCAGUAACAUCGAGCCAUGGAUUGCUCAAGUUCGAUCGAUCUCAGAUUCAGAGGUAUAGAGUUGUCUGGAUGGAAGGGAAAUACAACAGCAAAUGGAUAGUGGCAAGAAGACAGGAUCCAGAAAACAAGAAGAAGCGAAUUGAGUGGGAAGAUUCAGUCACGAAAUCCUCAAUACUCUUGUAUGAUUUCCAGUUACGUCCACCAGUCAUCUACGUAAAAAGACAAUAAAACAUUUAAAGAGUGUAUACCAAGAGCUAAAGCAAAGUAACACCUAAUGUUGUGUAUAUUUCAUGUUUAUGUGAUACAAAAUAUAUCUCUGUUAGCUUCUUCAAAUCUAGUAUGCUAAACAGAGUCAAUAAAAACAA